AAAAAGACAAACCCUGGUUUCCGUGCCUAACAUUUGACCGUCCGUCUUAUUUAAAAAAAAUAUAAAAAAAUUAAAAAGACAAGUCACGCAUAAAAUAUUAAUCAUGUUUUAUCAUCUAACAACAAUGAAAAUACGAAUUAUAAAAAAUUUCAUAUAAGACGGACAGUCAAAGUUGGACACAGAAAUUUAGGGUUUGCCUUUUU
rnacentral:pre_miRNA from 1 species